rnacentral:rRNA from 1 species
UGCAAGUCGAACGGUGAACACGGAGCUUGCUCUGUGGGAUCAGUGGCGAACGGGUGAGUAACACGUGAGCAACCUGCCCCUGACUCUGGGAUAAGCGCUGGAAACGGCGUCUAAUACUGGAUACGAGUAGCGGCCGCAUGGUCAGUUACUGGAAAGAUUUAUUGGUUGGGGAUGGGCUCGCGGCCUAUCAGCUUGUUGGUGAGGUAAUGGCUCACCAAGGCGUCGACGGGUAGCCGGCCUGAGAGGGUGACCGGCCACACUGGGACUGAGACACGGCCCAGACUCCUACGGGAGGCAGCAGUGGGGAAUAUUGCACAAUGGGCGGAAGCCUGAUGCAGCAACGCCGCGUGAGGGAUGACGGCCUUCGGGUUGUAAACCUCUUUUAGCAGGGAAGAAGCGAAAGUGACGGUACCUGCAGAAAAAGCACCGGCUAACUACGUGCCAGCAGCCGCGGUAAUACGUAGGGUGCAAGCGUUAUCCGGAAUUAUUGGGCGUAAAGAGCUCGUAGGCGGUUUGUCGCGUCUGCUGUGAAAUCCGGAGGCUCAACCUCCGGCCUGCAGUGGGUACGGGCAGACUAGAGUGCGGUAGGGGAGAUUGGAAUUCCUGGUGUAGCGGUGGAAUGCGCAGAUAUCAGGAGGAACACCGAUGGCGAAGGCAGAUCUCUGGGCCGUUACUGACGCUGAGGAGCGAAAGGGUGGGGAGCAAACAGGCUUAGAUACCCUGGUAGUCCACCCCGUAAACGUUGGGGAACUAGUUGUGGGGGUCCAUU